GAUGAACGCUGGCGGCGUGCUUAACACAUGCAAGUCGAACGGAAAGGCUCCUGCUUGCAGGGGUACUCGAGUGGCGAACGGGUGAGUAACACGUGGGUGAUCUGCCCUGCACUUCGGGAUAGGCCUGGGAAACUGGGUCUAAUACCGGAUAGGACCACAUUUUGGAUGGUGUGGUGGAAAGUUUUUCGGUGUGGGAUGAGCUCGCGGCCUAUCAGCUUGUUGGUGGGGUAAUGGCCUACCAAGGCGUCGACGGGUAGCCGGCCUGAGAGGUGGUACGGCCACAUUGGGACUGAGAUACGGCCCAGACUCCUACGGGAGGCAGCAGUGGGGAAUAUUGCACAAUGGGCGCAAGCCUGAUGCAGCGACGCCGCGUGGGGGAUGACGGCCUUCGGGUUGUAAACUCCUUUCGCUAGGGACGAAGCGCAAGUGACGGUACCUGGAGAAGAAGCACCGGCUAACUACGUG
rnacentral:rRNA from 1 species